rnacentral:SRP_RNA from 1 species
GCUGGGCGUGGUGGCGCAUGCCUGUAAUCCCCGCUACUUGGGAGGCUGAGGUGGGAGAAUCGCUUGAACCUGGGAGGCGGAGGUUGCAGUGAGCUGAGAUCGCACCACUGCACUCCAGCCUGGGUGACAGAGUGAGACUCCAUCUCAA